GACGAACGCUGGCGGCGUGCUUAACACAUGCAAGUCGAACGGAAAGGCCCUGCUUUUGUGGGGUGCUCGAGUGGCGAACGGGUGAGUAACACGUGAGUAACCUGCCCUUGACUUUGGGAUAACUUCAGGAAACUGGGGCUAAUACCGGAUAGGAGCUCCUGCUGCAUGGUGGGGGUUGGAAAGUUUCGGCGGUUGGGGAUGGACUAGCGGCUUAUCAGCUUGUUGGUGGGGUAGUGGCUUACCAAGGCUUUGACGGGUAGCCGGCCUGAGAGGGUGACCGGCCACAUUGGGACUGAGAUACGGCCCAGACUCCUACGUGAGGCAGCAGGGGGGAAUAUUGCACAAUGGGCGGAAGCCGGUGGCAGCAACGCCGCGGGUGUGAAGACGGCCUUCGGGGUGUAAACCGCUUUCGCCUGUGACGAAGCGUGACUGACGGUAAUGGGUAAAGAAGCACCGGCUAACUACGUG
rnacentral:rRNA from 1 species